rnacentral:lncRNA from 1 species
CACAUACAUUGAUGGCCUGCCCAGCCGGGACUGCCAGGAAGAGCUGUAUGAUGAUGUGGAGAUGUCAGAGCUGAUGGCGGCGGUGGAGCCUGCUGAGGAAGCCACCCUAGCUGGGGAUGCCACCCCUGCUGUGGAUGCCAACAGUGGCAGUGACUUAGACCGAGUAUACCUGGAUCUCACACCUGUCAAGUCCUUCCUGCAUAAUACCAGUGAGGUCCAGGUGCAGGCCUCUCUCCCAGCGGUGCCACAUCUGGAUGACGUAGCUGAGACCCUCACAGUAGACCCAAAGCCAGGCACCACCCCAGAGGAGCCCUGCACAGAGUCUCCAGGAGGCCAGGAGAUGCAGCAGAGGCAGCCAGAGGGUCAAGAGCCUUCGGAGCCCAUCGAGCCCACCCCGAGAGUCACCACGGUUAAGCUGCAGGCCGAGCAGCAGAGAAUCUCCUUCCCAGCCAACUGCCCAGACACCAUGGCUUCUGUCCCCAUCAGUGCCAGCCCACCUGUGAAGGACAAGCUGAGGGUGACCAGUGCAGAAAUCAAACUUGGGAAGAACCGGACAGAGGCGGAAGUGAAGCGGUACACGGAGGAGAAGAGGAGGCUGGAGAGGAGUAAGGAGGAGAUUCGAGGACACCUGGCUCAGCUCCGCAGGGAGAAGAGGGAGCUCAAGGAGACCCUGUUAAGAUGCACAGAUAAGGGAGUUGUGGCCAAGCUGGAGCAGGCAUUGAAGAGAAUAGAUGAGGAAUGCCGGCUGGAGGAGAGCAGGCGUGUGGACCUCGAGCUCAGCAUCGUGGAGGUGAAGGACAACCUGAAGAAGGCAGAGGCUGGGCCUGUGACCCUGGGCACCACUGUGGAUACCACCCACCUGGACAACAUGAGCCCUCGUCCACAGCCCAAAGCUGCCACCCCCACCUCCACUCCAGACUCUACGCCAGUCAACUCUGCAUCCGUGCUUAAGAACAGGCCUCUUUCCGUCAUGGUCACAGGCAAAGGCACUGUUCUGCAGAAAGCGAAGGAAUGGGAGAAGAAAGGAGCCAGUUAGGAAACAAGAUUUGCCUAAAGACUCUUAUAAGGUCAUGGAUCUUGCUGACAAUCCUGCUCCGGUCAAGUCUUCCAUAAAACAGCAGCAACUCUGAGGAAAGGUGAGUCUGUUUACAAGAAAGAGCAAGGGACGAGAUGCUCGAAGCUUCGGUGACGGCCCUGUCCCCUCUUCAAGCCAAAGGGAACACAGCGGCGGCGGCAUCGGUGGCGUCUCCGGAGACGAAACCUACUGGCUGUCCAUGAGACGACAUACUUCCCUUUUUCUUUCCUAAGAUUUCAUCCAUCACUCAACUGCUUUAUCAAGACUUUUUUUAGGUAGUGAAAAAAUGGCCACAUCGCUUUUGGUUAUGAGGAGAAUCUAAAUUUCUGACCCCCCUCUCUCUUAUCCCGUACUUGGCAGUGCUAAGGUUUAAAUCAUGCGUUGCCCCCAUGUCUGUCCUCCAUAUUGGGGGGCGGGGCUCAACGUGGCCUUUGACGAUCUUAAAAGAACAUUAGAACCCUGGAAUCAGUAGCAGAGGGACAUACUGGGAACUGAGCUAAGGGACUGUCGCCCCCUAGGUCACUAAGGACCUCGCCCCAGUCCAGACAAACUUUCAAACUAUGCUGUAUUAUAUAGGAGGAAAAAUCCUGUGUUUACAGACUCUGUCCUGUGGCCAGGCUGCUCUUAAGAAAAGAGUUAAUUACCUCUUCAUUACCACGUUAAAGGUGUUUUAAAUUUCUGGUCCCCUUGCAAGGAAAACAGCCGUGAAUUAGAGUAGCCUUUCUUGUCAGUCAGAUUGGCAGCCAGUGCUGUCUUCACACACUGUCUCCCUGUGACAGCAUUAACUUGUGUUGAUACAUUUCAUCUGUUACCUGCCCCAUCUCUGAGCAGUUGGAGCCAGUUACCUCACACUGGUUUCUGAAGGCUAAAUGUUUUUACACGUAUAUUAUUGUCUUUCUAAUCCCAGGGCAUUUUAUUUUCUGUAUCAUAAACACUUGGUGACCUUUAUCAAGUGGCGAGUUAGACUUUUUUUUUUUUUUUAAAUAAAAUGUUCAUUGU